rnacentral:rRNA from 1 species
UGCGUAGGUGGCAGAUCAAGUCUGGAGUAAAAGGUAUGGGCUCAACCCGUACUUGCUCUGGAAACUGAUCAGCUAGAGAACAGAAGAGGACGGCGGAACUCCAUGUGUAGCGGUAAAAUAGCGUAGAUAUAUGGAAGAACACCGGUGGCGAAGGCGGCCGUCUGGUCUGGAUUCUGACACUGAAGCACGAAAGCGUGGGGGAGCAAAUA